rnacentral:rRNA from 1 species
AGAGGGGGCAAGCGUUGCUCGGAAUUACUGGGCGUAAAGGGCGCGUAGGCGGAAUGGCAAGUCGGUCGUGAAAUCCUUCGGCUCAACCGAAGAACGUCGAUCGAAACUGCCGUUCUUGAGGAUUGCAGAGGAGACUGGAAUUCCCGGUGUAGCGGUGAAAUGUGUAGAGAUCGGGAGGAACACCGGUGGCGAAGGCGGGUCUCUGGGCAAUUCCUGACGCUGAGGCGCGAAAGCGUGGGGAGCAAACGGG